CAAAUAUAUAGAAAUACAGUUUCUAACAUGAUCCACAUGCUUCUUGGUACCUGCGGGCCUCGGUCGCGAUUGACUUCCUCCUUAUUCACCUCGGGGAUACAAGUGUUGAAAAAUACCUGAAAAUAAUGGCCUAUAAAGUUUUAAGUAGGCCUAGCAAUCCGAUGCUCUACACAUUAGGCCGCUCAUUGUACAAAAAUUAGAUCUCUUACGAUCCAAUGUCAGAAAUAUUAGACUGCUCGAAACUUUUUUUUUUUUAAAAAAGAGUAGUUUGUAGUAGUCCAAUACUAUAGACAAUACCAAAGUGAUGUUUCGCGCAGUUUGAUGAGAGCUAUCAGACAAUACCAAAGUGAUGUUUCGCGCAGUUUGAUGAGAGGAACAUCAGGCCAAAAUUUUGGGCUUACAUGAAAGGUGGCUAUUGGCUUAAUGAAAACCCCUUUCUUGCACUAUAUUGGUAUUUGGAAGCCAUUCUUUAUAAGCUCUAUGAGAACCACGAGGCUCUAAGGUCGAAAAUAUUUCUCGGGGGUUUAUUACCAUUUAAUGAUCUUUUUUCCAUAAAUUACGAGGACCACUCCCACCAUCCCCACGGUGAUCGGUGUUUCAGACAACAAACAUAGAUUUUUUGUCAUUUAUUUGUCCAGUAUUGCUGAUUCUAGACAUUAGCUAUUUGAAGCUCCACAUUCGCAGGCAUUUGGCCAUCUAUUGGGUGCUAAUCAGGUAGGUAUAAUAUCCAGAGACUUUUCUAUUAUUUUUUUGAGGUUUCCAUCAUUUUUGCACCCACUGAAUCAAUGACUCUAGGGCUUUGAUAGUUAGUCCAAUCAUUAAGAAAUUCUCGCAAAUGUAUAAUGGUUGUGUAUUAAUUUGGGGAAAAAUACGAGUAAUGGCAUAUUCGCGUUUUGGGGCUAAAAAACCUAAUAUUUGGAUAAUAAAACCACUUAAAUGAUAAAAUAUUUCUACAUUUCGAUAGGUCUUUGCUAGUUGGAUGAAUUACGAGUAUUUUAGAACAAAUUCGAAGCUUUUUUGCUGAGAUUUAAAGUAGAACAAGAAAGGAUGGUGGAUUGGGAUUUUUUGUGCUUGUUUUACUUUGUUAAAAUUAUUCUACUACUUUUGCCCCAUUUUUCUCAUGGACCCUUCAUGGUUGUUCAACUCCUAUUUUUAGUACGAUGGAUUCCUCUAUGAAUUGUGCUUAUGGAAUAGCUAAAAUAUUUUUUUCUUUUGAAGUGACUUUUAUAAGGUUCACCAUCUUGUUGAGAUUGAUGAAGUUUGAGAAUUUGAAAAAUCUUGUCUACUUUUACAAGAUAACUAUAUUGCUAACAAUUGGAGAAGGGGUGCAUUCCAGGGCUUAUAAUAUUUCAUGCACUUAUUUAUUUUGUUUAGCUUUUGCUGUAAAUUUAUAGGCAGGAGUUAAACUUGAUGCUCAUUGCACGUAUUUUUCCCCAAAUUAAACCUAAUGUUCAUUUUUAUUGAUUUCAUAUGAAAAUAGGACAACGUGAUGUUUUCGUUUUAGGCACUUUAGCUUCACAUGGUUUUCUCCAUAAAUGUUUUAAAUUGGCCUAGAAAGCAUCUGCUCUCUACAUUGUCUUUAUGACUAUCAAGUUCAUGUUUAUAUGACAGCUCUAACAUAUUUGAAAAUAUAGGAUUGCAAAUAAAUGUUUAUGCAUAUUUUAAAACUUCGUAGGAAUUUUUGUUGAUGGCUUGGUAUAUAGGCUUUGCUCCCUUAUAUUUCGUGAUAAUAUUGAGAAGCUUUUGGGCAAGUUCAAUUGAUAAGUAGUUGUUAUGCAGUAGUUGUGUACUGUAUUUCUUUUUUUCAUUGCAGGAGAAGCCUAAGAUUAACAUUUAUGUGGGUUUUAACAACACUAGACAUUGGCCCCUUAGUGGGGACUAGCAAGAUCUAAUUCGAAAAAAGUGGCUAUGGCCUCUUGUUGAGUAUGCUACUAUGGAGGAGACGACACGACAUAUUGACCACCCUCUUAUAGAGGCAGUAAUAGAGAGAUGGCACCUAGAGAUGAACUUGAUGCACUGCCCACGACAUGUUUGUGAGAUGAUACCAACCUUGUAUGAUAUGUGGCGUACUCUUUGGCUCAGAGUAACAGGUGAGCUGGUAUUGACACGGAAAUGCAAACCCCAUGAACGUUACCAUUUAUGUUGUUUGGGAGGCUACCAGAUAGAGCGUAAUCGUAACCUUCAUAUAAUCAAGUUCACUUAAUUGAGACGAACAUUUAUGUGUCUACCAGAUAACCCUAUACAAUUACAAAUCAAGCAGAGCACUAGGUAAGCCCGACACUUUCAUAGCC